GUCAAGUAUCAUCAAAUUGAAGCUUGAUUCAAGGCCAAAUCGAUGCAUGAACAUGAAUUAAUGAUCACCCAACCUAGGGGAUCAUAAGUUUGACGCCUAACGAGCUAGGUGGAGGCUUGGGAAAGAAGCGGUCAAACGAAUCAAGGAUGAGAAGAAAGGCGUAUUCGAGAUGCGAGGAAUAAAUAUCGAUUGAAUGUUGACAUCGCUAUUACUUAGCGGCUACUAAGGCAAGGUAUCAAAACGGGUCAAUAUAUUGAUUUGAGCCAGGUAUGUAUAAUUGGUCAAAUCAUCAUUAGAACUUGAAGUUCAAUGAGGGCUAAACAAG